GACGAACGCUGGCGGCGUGCUUAACACAUGCAAGUCGAACGGAAAGGCCCUGCUUUUGUUUGUUGCUCGAUUGGCGAACGGUUGAGUAACACGUUAGUAACCUGCCCUUUUCUUUGUUAUAACUUCAGGAAACUGGUGCUAAUACCUGAUAGUAUCUCCUGCUGCUUGGUUUUGGUUGGAAAGUUUCGGCGUUUGGGGAUGGACUCGCGGCUUAUCAGCUUGUUGGUGGGGUAGUGGCUUACCAAGGCUUUGACGGGUAGCAGGCAUGAGAGGGUGACCGGCGAAAAUGGGACUGAGAGACGGACCAGAAUGGUACGGGAGGCAGCAGUGGGGAAUAUGGCAGAAUGGGAGGAAGCAUGAGGAAGAAAAGAGGCGAGCGGGAUGACGGCCUACGGGUUGUAAAAAGAUGUAGAAUGAGAAGAAGAGUGAGUGACGGUAAUGGGUAAAGAAGCAACGACUAACUACGUG
rnacentral:rRNA from 1 species